GAUGAACGCUGGCGGCGUGCCUAAUACAUGCAAGUCGAGCGAACAGACGAGGAGCUUGCUCCUCUGACGUUAGCGGCGGACGGGUGAGUAACACGUGGAUAACCUACCUAUAAGACUGGGAUAACUUCGGGAAACCGGAGCUAAUACCGGAUAAUAUAUUGAACCGCAUGGUUCAAUAGUGAAAGACGGUUUUGCUGUCACUUAUAGAUGGAUCCGCGCCGCAUUAGCUAGUUGGUAAGGUAACGGCUUACCAAGGCGACGAUGCGUAGCCGACCUGAGAGGGUGAUCGGCCACACUGGAACUGAGACACGGUCCAGACUCCUACGGGACGCAGCAGUAGGGAAUCUUCCGCAAUGGGCGAAAGCCUGACGGAGCAACGCCGCGUGAGUGAUGAAGGUCUUCGGAUCGUAAAACUCUGUUAUUAGGGAAGAACAAAUGUGUAAGUAACUAUGCACGUCUUGACGGUACCUAAUCAGAAAGCCACGGCUAACUACGUG
rnacentral:rRNA from 1 species